rnacentral:lncRNA from 1 species
CCGGUAACUACCAAAAAGAAUCAAACAACUAAUAAACACCAACAACAAAUGAUGCAACACACAAUAUGACGCAUGUAUGCACUCCUCCAAACAAACACAUAAAUGAACCCUACAUCAAUGAAACUAUUGCCACCUCACCAGAAGGGGAUUUUCCAUAGAGAUUCCCAAAAUAAGAAACCAUCCCAACCAUUAGAUUCAUUGGGAUUUUCUACCCAAAAUCAAUAUAUCAUACUGCCGCCUUUGCAUACAGAAAAACUCCACAAACAGUAAAAGAAUAAAAGCAC